ACCCUUCACCAUCAGGUCUCAGGGCAGAUUGCAACAACUUAAAAAUACAAUAUUAAAAACAAUGCAUAUCACAGUGAAGAAAAUAGAGAAAUAAAUAUCUCAGGUGUCAAAGGCCAGGGUAGCGAUUUUCUCUCUGCUUCACCUGUCAACAGUUCCCAAAUGGCAAAAUCUAACAUUUUCAUUAAUGUAGCAGAGUUUAACGUAUUCUUGGUCCCCCUUUCCCCAGUGGUUUUCUAUUCUUUGAACUAUUCAUAUUUUAAAGUGGGGUAUGUGGAAAGAAAGAGUUUCCCCUUUUUCUUUUACAUUUAUGAAAGCAAAUCCUGGAGGGGAAAGCAAUCUGUAUUUGGCUUUUUGGAAUAAUGACAAUAUUCAAAAGUAACUAUUUUCUUCCUUAAAAAACAAUCAUAGAAAACAGAAGGAGCAUGAAAGUGAAAUGACAAAACAAACAAAACACACUGCGGUACUGCUCUGUAGUUAUAUGCCUUUUGAGCAGCCGUUUCAUAUUCCUAGUGAUUUACCAUUCCCUGGUGAAGUGCAGUGUGGAAAUCCCUGCCUCGGCCUUUCCCACACUCACUGGAACGCCUGCUGCCACAGCCCCCUUUAAACCAGGGAGGUCUGGCACUCUUGAACCUGAGGUCGAAGAUGAGAAGGAAGGAAAGAAUGGCCUUCAGGCCAGGGUAAGAAACCAGGGCAACAGUGCUCUUAAAAGUGAUAAAAGGGCUUUAUCUAGAAGCACUUAAACAAAACCCACAAGGGCCAAGAGCAGAGACUCUGUUGAGUAUCAGCCAUGGCCAUCGGGGAAACCGCAAAUCCUUGACACAAUAUAAAGGCACUUUCUUUAUACUGAGCAAUUGGGGAAAACAGAACUGGCUGCCGUGGGGUCAGACAGGCUGUGGCAAGCUAUCACUGGCCUCCUUACCUUGGCUGUGAGCUUCUAAUUCACACUUAGCAACAAUAGUGGAGUCUGGAGGGCAGGAGUCAAUGGGCAUUGUUAGCAGAGCUGCAGAUGUGCAGCAGAAUGGCAAGAGUCAACACAACUCCAGUUAUUACCUCUUUGUUUCCUUGGCUCCUUGUUCGCUACCCGCAUCCGUUUGUUGUCAUGUCUUGUCUUUUAUCUUAACAGCAAGCUCUUCUGUGCAGCAACUAUUUUUGUUCUGUGCCUGGGGCAAUCAAGAGCUAAGCCCCUGUUUGGGUUUCUACAGAUUGCCGAAAAAGGAGACUAUUACUUCUUGGUAAUGAUGAUGAGUAAGUCGCUAGAAGGGCCGUAACUCAGUGACAGAGCAUCUGUUCUUGCUUGCAGAAGGCCCCGGGUUCGAUCCCUGCCAUACCCAGGUAGGGCUGAGAGAGAAUCCAGCCUGAAGGAGUUGCUGACAGACAAUCUAAAUAAUACUGAGCUACAUGGACCCAUGGCCUGACUCUGUUUAAAGCAGCUUCCUAGGUUCUUAAUGACACCUUUGCCUGGGUUACCUGUGAAUUGUGGAUUUCAGUACAGUGGUACCUC